UACGAGACAGUGACAAAAAAAGGCUGAAGACUUUGACGCAGGCUGAGGGGGAGCUGCAGUACUCAGGUGGAUGUGGUGCCCAACCUGAGCACCACUGCACACAGACAUCAGCUGUGAGAGAUUUCCUAAGCACACCAAGGUUUAAUUCAUUGUUGUUGUUUUUCUUCUCUUCAAGGAAAAAAAAAAUGGAACAGAAACUUUAAGCACAUGAAGUUUCACACAGGAAAUGAAUCUGAAACUACUGAUACAGCAGACCUAACAGAGAGGGGGGGAUUUCUGUGGAGGAUAUGCUAAAAGCAGAAGUGACAAAGCUGAUGAACGAGCUCAGAGAGUGAACAUAAAUUUGCAAAACAGGUCCGUGAACUGGUGACUUUCACAAAAAAAAAAAAAAAAAAAAAAAAAAAAAGCUGUGUAGACAUUGUGGUGUUUAUUUGUUUUUGCGCAGCUGGUGCCAGGUGCUUGCUUGCAAGGCUGGAUGCUGGCAUAUUUUUUUUUGUGGAAUCCCAGAACAGCCUUGGCACAGGCUCCAGCCACAGCUCUGUCCCCUGAAGGCAGCUGGCAGCCCCCACACCAUGGCUGUGCUCAUGGAAGGCACGUCAGGAGGGAGAUCAAUAGCUUCUACAGGCCUCUCCAUGGGCAUGAUUUCAUGAAAAAUCACAAAUUCUUGAUCAUUCCCCAUCUGUUUUGAUGGUCCCAGUUUGAAGUAAGAAUUUUGUAUUGAUCACUGAAUGCUUGGAAACAUCCCACGAUUCGGGCCGAAUUCUAAUCUGAGGUGUACUUUCAGCUCUGCUUAGCCACAGAUGCCCUUUGACAUCAGUACAGAGAGCUGCAAUUGUUUUUAUGUCAAGAGAUAUGAAAGCCAGACAGCACCAGAACAAAUGCUCCACUUCUCUAAGGAAAGGAACAUAUAAACCACUUCUGCAUACCAUGGGCUGCAAAGUGCCGAGCCCACACCAAGCACAAACAACAUCCUGAUCCCACACGCUACUUGGACAAAAGCCCCACUGAAUUCACACUGGCAUUGCUGCCCGUGCAGGGAAUUUCGUAAGAGCAAGGCUGACUCUAGUAUAAAAUGAAUAUCUGCAGUCCUACCUUCACACCAGUGUCACUCCCGUGGGCUACAGGCACUUGCUUUUCUGCUGGCUUUUGCAGGUUGCUUUUAUAGUCCUAACCUGACUACUGUAAACUUACCCUACUCCUGUUUACCAGUUCAGACACAGUUCAUAAAGCCGAACCAUCGAGGAUGAAUACUUUCUUAGUGCAAUUUCAUAGCUAUAAAUAGACAGGUGGAAAACUGUUUGCAGUUCCAGCAUAAAUGAUGGGUACGUGACGAACAGCUGAGAGAGCCAUAAAAACACUCCAUAUGUAAGCUGAUGAUAGAAAGCAAGAGAACUUCCUUCAGUUUACCUGUCUAGGUUUUUGUAACCAGGUAAGAGCUAUGUGAAAUUCUGAUAGUUUUGUAGAAGCAGAAAUGCAAGUGAUUCACUCACAUGUAUCACUUUAUAUUCCUCAUGUGAGCAUCAUCCUGUCUAUUGAGUCGGACUUGCAAUCUGUAGUUUGUAUUUACUGUAGCAAGAGUGGAAGAGAAAGAAUCCCGAACCCCACUGAGUAAUUGACAGUAUCUUACGCUACUAUAGUCCCUCUACAUGGCACAACACCUUUUUCACAUUUGAAGGAGCAACCUGCUACAUCAGUUAAAGGAGGAUCUGUACAGGGAGAGAGAAUUGAUGUAGUCACAAAGGAGGGAAGGCAGCAAUCACUAGAAAAAGUAUAUGAAAGCAAGUCUGUCCUGUUAAAUCUUGCUUUUCAAAUCCUGCCUUGCAUAACAAGGGACAAAAAAUUCUUUUGAUUGCCCGUAUUCAGACUUUUUUUCCAUCCACUAAGGUAACCUUAUUUGUCAGCUUCAUUUUUGACAAAGCCUGAGGGGAAAUAAGUUGUUUGCAUAAGCAACAUACUUAUUGAUUAUAAAGAUACAGAGAAAUUCAAAUUGUCUGGGUAAAUUAUAUGGAAAGAGCAACCCCAUAAAACUAUUGCCGUAUUUCUUUUUCCUAGCAAUUGGAGGUCUCUUACAUUUUUUAUGUAGGAAACAGAUCAGUAUUGAAAAUUCCCUAGAACAGAUAUGGUGAAUCUCAGCAUGCUUUUGCUUUCUUUAAGCACCAUUAAAAUAAAGUUAUUCUGACAAAAGGCUUUUUUUUGCUUGCAUAUGGACCAGCACAUGAGAAUUUGCUGUCCUGUAGAGCUCACAGACGCCCCUCUGCACAUCCCCAGCUCUUUGGCAGACAGCUGCAGUGCUGGGAAGGCGUUCCCUGAGAAGCAGAUGCUUUGUGCAGCAUUAAGUCCCUCACGUGGCUUCAGCCACACGAGGAGAGCAGCACGUAACGGCACAGUGAGGCCAGUUGGUGACUCGCUAAAUCCUAAUACCCCAGAGCUCUCUUCAAGACUGCUUGAGGCUGCGCUGCUAUAGAAAGAGAUUUGUAGUGGAACGGGAAAAAAAGAUUAUCUCUACUUUUUAAAUAUCUAUCAUCCUGAUAUAAUUAUGUAUGAAACUCUUUAACUGGUAACUUCAAUUGGCACCUAAUGAAGAUUUAAAGAGAUCUCAAGUGCAAUUCCUGAAGGUAGUGAUAAAAAUUCUAACUAAAUGCAGAGAUACACAAAUUUCACGUACUCCUCUCAUCUGAGGUUACCAUUUACAAUUUGAUUUUGAUCCUCCAUGAGUAAAACUUCUGUAACUUCAUUGACCUUCAUGAGGUCACUCCUGUUCUAUGCUGAGAUGAAUGACAGUGGACUCCAACAGGGAGCAAGGAGUUAAUGAUACCACAUUGCCUUUGCUGAAUCAGAACAGGAACUGGGCAUUAAACAGAACCAUAAAAUAAUUUAGGUUGAAGGGACUUCUGUAGUGCAGCCUCUUGCUCAAAGCAGGGCCAACAUCAAAAUCAGACUGGUUUGCUGAUGGCCUUGUUUGGUCAAGCUCUGAAAUCUCCAAGAGUGGAGAAUGUACAGUCUCUGAGCAACCUGUCCCAGUGCUUCAUUCCUCUCAGGGUGAACUUUUUUUCCCCUUAUAACCAGUCUGAAUUACCCUAUCAGACAAAGAAAGAAGAUGAGGAUUUAAGGGGAGAAGAGGAUUAACGCAAAGUUGAAAAGACAAUACUGAAUGGAAAGCUCAGUCUUCUUAUACUGAUACUGCAUAUAUACAAGUAGCUGGAAAGAAACAGAUGCAGAAGGUGUGUGCAGUGAGUGACAAGUGGGUAAGCUCCUGGUUAAGUAAAAAAUAAGCAACAAACUCUGGUGUCAGCAUAUCAGACAACACUGAUUUUAUUGUCAGAGUAAAAACAUAUUCCUUACAGAAAACCAAACAAAAAAAACUAAUGAAUGUUACGAUGCAUGCCAAGCAAUUAUUGCUUUCCACAAUGUGUCCUGUGACUCACUGUGCCACUGGCGUGUGGUGCUCAUUCAGGGUAUAUCACUCACACAUUUGCAAUGGCUCUAAAGAGCUACUAGUUAC